rnacentral:misc_RNA from 1 species
AGGUAGAGAUCCAGCAAUCUGAUUGUAGUGGACAAGCAAGCGGCGAAGACUUGCCAUCAAACCUAUCUCAGAUGGUACAUUACCAGAGAAAUUAUUAACAGCCAAGUCUAGAUACAUGAGCUUGGAAAGGUUACUGAUGUGGGGGGGAAUGCUUCCAUGGAGAAAGUUGUGAGAAAGGUCAAGGCUGAUAAGGUUAGGGAAAGAUGAGAAGUUGAAGAAUUGUAAAGUACCUCUCAAACCACUGAAGGAAAGGUCUAUGCGUAUGACAUGUCCAGAUUCAUCACAAGUGAUCCCAACCCAUUGGCAAGGGGAACUAUUGAUGUCAGCUUUGAGAUCAGAAGAAGUGGAGUUAUGAGGAACAAAAUUCCAAGAGCAAAGGAGGCAAUUAGUGGGCUCGUCAAGGUUGUCUUUCCAUUUGAGAAGAGCUUCUACUUCAUGUCCUUUCAUCUGGACAGCUGAUAUAUUAGAAGCGAAAGCUAAAACAACAUUGGAAGAAAAUAACAGUACAAUGAAGAUGGUAAUGAUGAAGGGCAAUCUUUUAAUUAGUGAGAAUGCCAUGGCUUUAGCUGUAAGGAAGGUGGGUGGUAGAAUGGCUUGGAUGCUAUUGUUACUAAAUUAUAUAGAGGUGAUGAAUUCAUAAAGUGCUUUAUUUAUUCUUAUUAAAAGCUUAAUUUCAGUCAUAGUGAUAAAACUUUAUCAUUGAUUUCAAUACCCAACUGAACUAUAAUUUAUAUGAAAAAAAUCACGGAACAUUGAUAAUUGCUUCAAUAAGUUUACUAUAUGCAAAUUUUUACGGUAUUUGCUGGAGUUGAUGAGUCUUUAGUGAAUAUUAGGUGAAAAAAU